rnacentral:rRNA from 1 species
AAGGAUCGCAGCAGGCGCGCAAAUUACCCAAUUCUAACAGUUUGAGAGAGGUAGUAACAAGAAAUAACAAUACAAGGCAGUUCAAAUGCUUUGUAAUCGGAAUGAUAGAAAUUUAAACCCUUUUUAAAGUAUCAAUUGGAGGGCAAGUCUGGUGCCAGCAGCCGCGGUAAUUCCAGCUCCAAUAGCGUAUAUUAAAAUUGUUGCAGUUAAAAAGCUCGUAGUUGAAGUUCUGCUAAAAGUAACCGGUCUGCUUUGAAUAAAAGUGGUAUCUUGGUAUGUAUUUAGCAAUGAUGUCCUUUGAAGUGUUUUUUACUUUAUUGUAAUAAAGCAUAUUCAGGACUUUUACUUUGAGAAAAUUAGAGUGUUUCUAGCAGGCCAACGCUUUGAAUACUGCAGCAUGGAAUAAUAAGAUAGGAUUUUAGUUCUACAUUAUUGGUUUUAAGAGCUAAAUUAAUGAUUGAUAGGGACAGUUGGGGGCAUUUGUAUUUAACUGUCAGAGGUGAAAUUCUUAGAUUUGUUAAAGACAAACUACUGCGAAAGCAUUUGCCAAAGAUGUUUUCAUUAAUCAAGAACGAAAGUUAGGGGAUCGAAGACGAUCAGAUACCGUCGUAGUCUUAACUAUAAACUAUGCCGACUAGAGAUUGGAGGUCGUCUUUAUAAACGACUCCUUCAGCACCUUACGAGAAACCAAAGUCUUUGGGUUC